CACACACACACACACGCCUAGCUUCCAGCCACAGCCUCACUUCAACUUCUGGUCUGUGCUCUCUUCUAGCAUGUGAUUCUUUCCCUCGUGGGCUGCCCCUGCCUUCCGCAUGUGUCAUCAGCACCGUGGAGAGCUGGACUAGAGAAGAGUCAUCCUUGAUGUAUAAGAAGUCCUAGCUAAGAAAGCCUAUGAGGGGGCAGGAGAGGAAAGACAGACAGACAGACAGGGUCUGCUGCCAUUCAGGCUAAAUGGCAAGGCCGGAGGCACGAACUCACUCACGAGACAGCAAAGGAUCUGAGACAAGCUUUCCAGAGGACACCGCCAGCCACUCCCCAGAAGACAAGGGAACAGGCUGUAGGUAAGAGCAAACUGGGA
rnacentral:lncRNA from 1 species